GGAGGAGGAGAGGGAGGGAAGGGGGAGGAAAGGAGAGAGGAGAGGAGGGAGACGGGGUAGGAUAUAAGUCACAGAUGUAGGUUCCAGCUCAGCUGUGAGAUGCAUGUCUGAGGUGGUGAUGUCUAGAACAGUGCUUGUCAGGAAUCUUGGGACCUCAGCGUGGUUAGCAAAAGAAACUUAGUGAGGAUAGAUAGCAAAGCAGAAAAGGGAAGUUACCUGCGUCCUUCGUGGGAUCCAUGAAGCUCUAAUUGCCCACCCUUGAGACUUCUUGUCAUCUGAGAAUCCCCUGAGUCCUGAGAGGAAGGAAUUGAUGGAGACACCUCAUUCAGAGCUCAGAGUUCCAAAGUCUCUCACACUCUGUGCACUAUCUGGUUGUGGGCGUCCGUAUUUGUUCCCAUCUGCUGGAGAAUGGAGCUUCUCUGGUGACAGCUGAGCAAGGUCCCUUAUUGGAACACAGUCCGAGCAUGGAGUCGUGUGAGGAGAUCUCUGCGUGCUCUUGUGAAAAGUCCAAGAAAGCAAGACAGGAGUCCUGUGACCUCAGUUUCUCCGAAACACAGAACUGUUCUUGGCACGUGUUCUCAUGUUCCUCCCAGAUGUGGCACUGUUCUUCAUAUGCCUUGACUGAAAGCCUGUUUUUGCCAUGCCUGGCUUGUCCUUGUACAUGGCUUGAACUCAUGAGAACCUGACUCAGUUGACCUUUCGUAACCCUCAGGGUAUAAAUUGUCUGACGCUCUGAAUAAAGUCCCCUAUUUCACAAGACUCUAGGCUGCCUCAUGUUCAGGGCCUGCUCUCCCAAGUUCACGCUGCCAACUGGAACGGUAAACAGUCCCUGGUCUAUUUAGUCGCAGGUUCUUGGCCACCCAAGCAGCACUGGAUAUUGGCUCCAUCUCAUGGAGUGGACCUUAACUCAAAUCAGAUAUUGGUUGGUUAUGCCCACGAGCUUGGGCAACGAUUACAUCAGUGUAUUUUGCAGGCCUGUCACCAUUGUGGACUGAAGGGUACGUAGCUGAAUUACUGCUCACCUUUCUGCUUUCACAGUGUGCAGAGUAUCUUCUAAUACCAAGACCACUAGUCCAUAGGAUGAAGGCUCUAAGAGGCACCAGCCCGACUUCUCUGUGUUCAGUGAGUUAUGUAGGUGUUCUGUUCAGCAUGGGCCUUACCAUCAGCCUGUGGACAGCCACCAAUAGCCUUGGCAAUAGCUUGGGUUGUUUAGGGAGCCCUUUGGCCAACUUGAUUAGAUGUAAUUCACUCCUGGUACUGGAAGUUUCAUUUUGUGAUAGGUCCAGUUAGGGCUCUGUCUCCCCAAUUAUUGGAUGAUUUCUUAUAGAUCACUUUCAUCCACGCAUAUGUUUUAGAAAGGUUCUAAUGUGUUAAUAAGUUUCCACAUGACCCUUCGAAUGGCCCUGAGUUUUAGCCGUCCCUUCCUAUACUCCCUCUCUUACCCUCCUCUUCCCUUCCCAUUCCCAUUUGAUCCUCCUGGCCCAGCCCUCCCCAACCCCACCUAUCAAUAUUCUAUUUCCCCUACCUAGGGCUCUCCAUGCUGUUUUAAUUAAUAUAUCUCUGAAGUACGAUUUGAGGUCGGUGUGGUGUUUCAUCCAGCAGUUCUUUUAUUAUCGAGGAAUGUUUUAUCAAUGCUGGGGGUUUUGUAUUUGUAUAUGAAGCUGAAAAUUGUCCUUUCAAGAUCUAUGCAGAGCUGUAUUGCAGUUUUAACGGGGAUUGCAUUGAAUCUGCUUUUAGUAGGACGGCCAUUUUUACUAUUUGAAUCCUACCUAUCCACAAGCCUGGGAGAGCUUUCCAUCUUCUGAGAUCUUUCAUUUCUUCCUUCACAAUAUCAAAUAUUAAUAUUUUAUAUUAUAUUGUGAAAGGUGUUGUGUUCCUGAUUUCCUUUGUCGUUUGUAUAUAAGGAGGCUAGUGAUUUCCGUGCGUUAAUUUUGUGUCCAGCUACUUUGAUGAAAGCGUUUAUCAGCUGUAACCUUCCUCUGGUAGAAUUUUGGGGGUCACAUAUGUAUACUAUCAGAUCAUCUGCGAAUAAAGAUACCUUGACCUCUUCUCUUCC